rnacentral:misc_RNA from 1 species
AUGGCCUGUCUGAGAAAACCAGGCAGGUGUGGGAGAAUGAGGGUCGGCAAAUUUUGCUUAUAUUUUGAGAUACCCUCCAGCAAAAUGUGGCAUUUUUUGAAAAUUGGAAAAAACACAAAUCCUGAUUGGCUUGAAGUCAAUAGACUGGUGAAAAUAAGUGGUGCAGAUUUGAUACCAGUAUUUGAUGCCAAAACAGUGCAUGUUAAAAUCAAGAGUGCCGGUGUUAUGUAUUGACCUAGGCUACUACGGCUAAUGACAGGAGUGAAGUCUGAUGCUGUACCUUGUGCUACAGUUGAGCGUGAUACUAUGAUGCGUACUUGUCAUUCAGCGGCUGCCAAAGUAAAACCAUCUGUGAAGCCAUCAUCAGGUAUCGUAAUGAAAAUCCUGUAGUUUCAA